GGGUUGUGAGGUUAAGCGACUAAGCGUACACGGUGGAUGCCCUGGCAGUCAGAGGCGAUGAAGGACGUGCUAAUCUGCGAUAAGCGUCGGUAAGGUGAUAUGAACCGUUAUAACCGGCGAUUUCCGAAUGGGGAAACCCAGUGUGAUUUGUCACACUAUCAUUAACUGAAUCCAUAGGUUAAUGAGGCGAACCGGGGGAACUGAAACAUCUAAGUACCCCGAGGAAAAGAAAUCAACCGAGAUUCCCCCAGUAGCGGCGAGCGAACGGGGAGGAGCCCAGAGCCUGAAUCAGUGUGUGUGUUAGUGGAAGCGUCUGGAAAGGCGCGCGAUACAGGGUGACAGCCCCGUACACAAAAAUGCACAUGCUGUGAGCUCGAUGAGUAGGGCGGGACACGUGGUAUCCUGUCUGAAUAUGGGGGGACCAUCCUCCAAGGCUAAAUACUCCUGACUGACCGAUAGUGAACCAGUACCGUGAGGGAAAGGCGAAAAGAACCCCGGCGAGGGGAGUGAAAAAGAACCUGAAACCGUGUACGUACAAGCAGUGGGAGCACGCUUCGGCGUGUGACUGCGUACCUUUUGUAUAAUGGGUCAGCGACUUAUAUUCUGUAGCAAGGUUAACCGAAUAGGGGAGCCGAAGGGAAACCGAGUCUUAACUGGGCGUUAAGUUGCAGGGUAUAGACCCGAAACCCGGUGAUCUAGCCAUGGGCAGGUUGAAGGUUGGGUAACACUAACUGGAGGACCGAACCGACUAAUGUUGAAAAAUUAGCGGAUGACUUGUGGCUGGGGGUGAAAGGCCAAUCAAACCGGGAGAUAGCUGGUUCUCCCCGAAAGCUAUUUAGGUAGCGCCUCGUGAAUUCAUCUCCGGGGGUAGAGCACUGUUUCGGCAAGGGGGUCAUCCCGACUUACCAACCCGAUGCAAACUGCGAAUACCGGAGAAUGUUAUCACGGGAGACACACGGCGGGUGCUAACGUCCGUCGUGAAGAGGGAAACAACCCAGACCGCCAGCUAAGGUCCCAAAGUCAUGGUUAAGUGGGAAACGAUGUGGGAAGGCCCAGACAGCCAGGAUGUUGGCUUAGAAGCAGCCAUCAUUUAAAGAAAGCGUAAUAGCUCACUGGUCGAGUCGGCCUGCGCGGAAGAUGUAACGGGGCUAAACCAUGCACCGAAGCUGCGGCAGCGACGCUUAUGCGUUGUUGGGUAGGGGAGCGUUCUGUAAGCCUGUGAAGGUGUGCUGUGAGGCAUGCUGGAGGUAUCAGAAGUGCGAAUGCUGACAUAAGUAACGAUAAAGCGGGUGAAAAGCCCGCUCGCCGGAAGACCAAGGGUUCCUGUCCAACGUUAAUCGGGGCAGGGUGAGUCGACCCCUAAGGCGAGGCCGAAAGGCGUAGUCGAUGGGAAACAGGUUAAUAUUCCUGUACUUGGUGUUACUGCGAAGGGGGGACGGAGAAGGCUAUGUUGGCCGGGCGACGGUUGUCCCGGUUUAAGCGUGUAGGCUGGUUUUCCAGGCAAAUCCGGAAAAUCAAGGCUGAGGCGUGAUGACGAGGCACUACGGUGCUGAAGCAACAAAUGCCCUGCUUCCAGGAAAAGCCUCUAAGCAUCAGGUAACAUCAAAUCGUACCCCAAACCGACACAGGUGGUCAGGUAGAGAAUACCAAGGCGCUUGAGAGAACUCGGGUGAAGGAACUAGGCAAAAUGGUGCCGUAACUUCGGGAGAAGGCACGCUGAUAUGUAGGUGAAGUCCCUCGCGGAUGGAGCUGAAAUCAGUCGAAGAUACCAGCUGGCUGCAACUGUUUAUUAAAAACACAGCACUGUGCAAACACGAAAGUGGACGUAUACGGUGUGACGCCUGCCCGGUGCCGGAAGGUUAAUUGAUGGGGUUAGCCGCAAGGCGAAGCUCUUGAUCGAAGCCCCGGUAAACGGCGGCCGUAACUAUAACGGUCCUAAGGUAGCGAAAUUCCUUGUCGGGUAAGUUCCGACCUGCACGAAUGGCGUAAUGAUGGCCAGGCUGUCUCCACCCGAGACUCAGUGAAAUUGAACUCGCUGUGAAGAUGCAGUGUACCCGCGGCAAGACGGAAAGACCCCGUGAACCUUUACUAUAGCUUGACACUGAACAUUGAGCCUUGAUGUGUAGGAUAGGUGGGAGGCUUAGAAGUGUGGACGCCAGUCUGCAUGGAGCCGACCUUGAAAUACCACCCUUUAAUGUUUGAUGUUCUAACGUUGACCCGUAAUCCGGGUUGCGGACAGUGUCUGGUGGGUAGUUUGACUGGGGCGGUCUCCUCCUAAAGAGUAACGGAGGAGCACGAAGGUUGGCUAAUCCUGGUCGGACAUCAGGAGGUUAGUGCAAUGGCAUAAGCCAGCUUGACUGCGAGCGUGACGGCGCGAGCAGGUGCGAAAGCAGGUCAUAGUGAUCCGGUGGUUCUGAAUGGAAGGGCCAUCGCUCAACGGAUAAAAGGUACUCCGGGGAUAACAGGCUGAUACCGCCCAAGAGUUCAUAUCGACGGCGGUGUUUGGCACCUCGAUGUCGGCUCAUCACAUCCUGGGGCUGAAGUAGGUCCCAAGGGUAUGGCUGUUCGCCAUUUAAAGUGGUACGCGAGCUGGGUUUAGAACGUCGUGAGACAGUUCGGUCCCUAUCUGCCGUGGGCGCUGGAGAACUGAGGGGGGCUGCUCCUAGUACGAGAGGACCGGAGUGGACGCAUCACUGGUGUUCGGGUUGUCAUGCCAAUGGCACUGCCCGGUAGCUAAAUGCGGAAGAGAUAAGUGCUGAAAGCAUCUAAGCACGAAACUUGCCCCGAGAUGAGUUCUCCCUGACUCCUUGAGAGUCCUGAAGGAACGUUGAAGACGACGACGUUGAUAGGCCGGGUGUGUAAGCGCAGCGAUGCGUUGAGCUAACCGGUACUAAUGAACCGUGAGGCUUAACCUUACAACGCCGAAG
rnacentral:rRNA from 1 species